UCGUCAGGAGGUUAAUCCUUACCUGUUCCUCCUUCUGGAGGGCAGAUAGAAAAUGAUGAGUGGAGCUUGCAUGACUUGCUGAUUAGCAUUUCUGUGUAGCCAGGACCUGACAACAUCUGAUUGUUGUUGCUCUUAUCUGAU